rnacentral:rRNA from 1 species
GACGAACGCUGGCGGCGUGGAUUAGGCAUGCAAGUCGAACGGUAUCAUCCUUUCGGGGGUGAGAGAGUGGCGAACUGGUGAGUAACACGUAGGUUAUCUACCCUCAAGACGGGGACAACCCAGGGAAACUUGGGCUAAUACCGGAUGUGAGCAACUUUUAGUUGUUUGAAAGGUGGCGUAAGCUGUCGCUUGGGGAUGAGCCUGCGUCCUAUUAGUUAGUUGGUGGGGUAACGGCUCACCUAGGCAAUGAUAGGUAGGCGGCCUUAACGGGUGGUCGCCCACACUGGGAUUGAGAUACGGCCCAGACUCCUACGGGAGGCAGCAGUCGAGAAUAGUCUACAAUGGUCGGAAGACUGAUAGUGCGACGCCGCGUGAACGAUGAAUCCCUUCGGGGUGUAAAGUUCUUUUAUAUGUGAGCAGUGCUUCUUAUAUUAACAGUAUGGGGAGAGAGAUAUUAGCAUAUGAAUAAGCAACGGCUAACUCCGUGCCAGCAGCCGACGGUAAAAUCACG